ACCCAUCCCCCCCACCUACCUUCCAUCUGGGCGUUUAGCUGUUAACUAAAUUUUUGUGGGAUGGAGGCCCACCAAUCUAGUAAGGGCUUAGCUUAAUUAAAGUGUUUGAUUUGCAAUCAAUUGCUGUAGGAUAGAUUCUUGCAGUCCUUAGAUAGGAAGAGACA